rnacentral:rRNA from 1 species
UGGGGAAUCUUCCGCAAUGGACGAAAGUCUGACGGAGCAACGCCGCGUGAGUGAAGAAGGUUUUCGGAUCGUAAAGCCCUUUCGUUAGGGACGAACGUGCUCUUUGUGAAUAAUGAGGAGUAAUGACGGUACCUAAAUAAGAAGCCACGGCUAACUGCGUGCCAGCAGCCGCGGUAAUACGUAGGUGGCAAGCGUUGUCCGGAAUUAUUAGGCGUAAAGCGCGCGCAGGCGGGAUAUCAAGUCUGUCUUAAAAGUGCGAGGCUCAACCUCGUGAGGGGACGGAAACUGGUAUUCUUGAGUGUCGGAGAGGAAAGUGGAAUUCCAAGUGUAGCGGUGAAAUGCGUAGAGAUUUGGAAGAACACCAGUGGCGAAGGCGACUUUCUGGACGAUGUCUGACGCUGAGGCGCGAAAGCUAGGGGAGCGAACGG